CCAAUGACCAGACUCUUCCAACCAGCCCCACCUUCCAGCAGGUGAGCUCUGACCCCAUAAUCCAAUUACCUUCCAAAAGCCCCACCUAUGAGCGUAUGAGGCUCUUGGGGGAUAUCUAGAUAUAAACCAUAAGAGUACGCCCCUGACAAUGCAACAAGCAGAUAAACAAGGCCAUGCAUUACACACACGCGCACGCACACACACACACACACACACACAUACACAUACUGUAAACUCCUCAGUUUACAAUGGGUUACAUCCUAAUAAAUCCAUGGUAACAUGAAAAUAUAAGCUAAAAAUGCAUUUAAUAUACCUAAUCUACCAACAUCGUAGUUCACCCUCAUGUGCUAGCUUUCCAUCACUAUGACAAAAUACUGGAGACAAUCAAUUUUAAAGGGGGAAAGGUUUAUUUUGGCUCAUGGUUUCAGAGGGUUUGAGCCAUGGGUUAUGGGCUUCAAGGCAGAGAGAGCAUGGUGGAAUGACCUGGUGGAAGGAAACUGUUCAUGUCAUGGCAGCCAGGAGGCAGACAGAGAGAGAGAAGAGAGGACCCAGGGACCUGAACAUAUCCUUCCAUGUCACACCCCCAGUGACUACCUUCAACCAGGCCCCACCUGGUUCACGUUCAGCCAUGAACUUAUUAAUGGAGAAAUCCACUGAUGAAUAUAGCACCCCAUGAUCCAGUCACUCUGAAUACGUGAGGCUUUUGGGGAACACUUUAGAGACCUCACCUCCUAAAGUUUUAUCAUCUACCAGUAGUGCCAUGGGCUAGGAAAGAUACUUUAGGAAACACUGAAGAUCCAAACUAUAGCAGUUAGCCUACCUUACAUGUGCUCAGAAGACUUACCUGAGUCUACAUCUGGGCAAAAUCAUCCAACAAAGACUUUUACAAUAGAAUGUUGACUAUCUCAUGGAACUUACCGUGUGUACUGUACUGAAAGUGAGAGUCAGAGUGGUUGGGUAGGUUUCACACCAGUGUAAAGACAAAAAAUGGUUAAGUCAAAAUGUCUACAUCAGAUUUUAGCAGCCAAAUUUAAACUCAUGUAAAAUCUGCAGCGUUAAACACUCCCUAGGAAAACUUUGAGGCCAAUCUAGGAAAGUAUGAAUAAUAAAGAGACAGCUGGCUAGGAAACAAUAUCUCUCACAUUUCCUGCCCCUUUUUUCCCCCAGAAAAAAAAAAAUUGAUAUCUGAGGGAAUUUCAGACUGAAGCAAGAAUGGGAAAUAAAUACAGUGUGAUCCCAAAUUCCCGUUGAUGAGAUGCUCAGGCCUUGUGCUGGACGCCAUCAUUUUAUUGGAUACUAAAAAUACAGCUUUUAUUUUAGAUGAUGGCUUGGAAAGGAAAUGCUCUAAAUCUGGAGGCCUGCUCCCCUCACGAAAGGUAAGAGUGGCAGCGGUGUCUGGCACUGAGUACAUGGAGGUCCCUGCCUGGUGGUCCGACCAGGCCACAAUGGGCAGGUAGCGACAGAGGUCAGCAGGGAGGUGGGUUGGCAGCGGACGGCUGUAAAGAUUGCUCAAUGUUCCUAGCAGGACAUCGGCACCCUACUUCCAGGUAUGUGCUCCCAGUGGCUGGAUAUUUAUGGCUUUAGGAGACCAAUGGCUGAUUCUCAACCUCCCUGGGCCCCUUUUUGUAAUAAAUACUUUGUGGGGUUUUUUUCUUUUUGGGUUUUUGAGACAAGGUGUUGCUAUGUAGUUUAGGCUGGUCUUGAAGUCACUGUGUAGCCCAAAUUGGCCUGAAACUCGUGGCAAUUCUCCUGCCUCGGCCUCUCGAGUGCUUGGGUAGCACUGGUAUUACAAGCAUGCACCACUGCACCCAGCUUGGAAUAAAUACCUUAUAAUGCCCCAUUUACUAAAGUCAAAUAAUACCUCGUUUAUGCUGCCUGUACAUAAUUUUUUUAAAGUAAUGUCUAAACUUUAGAAUAAAAGAAAUAUAAAAUAAUAUUUAGUUCAGCCCAUAAACUUCAGACACGGUUACAUUAGAAGACACAUCUGAGUGUAAAGCGCACGCAGCUGUGUUGAUUGAGGCUGACACGUGUCCAUUUUACGGAUGAUUCAGACCCCGCGCAUGCGGCCUGGUCAUGGGUGCUGGUGACUUUUCAGUCUUUUCCAGCAGAAGUCCAGACGGUGGCGCUAGAGAGCCCCGCAUGCUUCCCCGGCCGCACGGGCUCGGGAUUCGGGCAGAGCUGACUCAGCUCUAAAGAGGUGACGCAGCAGUGCGGCUGACAGCGACGUCAACAGCAGCUACUAUUUAUAGGAUAAUUAGCGAGCCCUGUGCUAUAUGCUUUUCAUUUCGUUUUAACAACCUAUUACAGGUGAGAAAACGAGUUUCGCCAGUUGCAGGGAGCGCAGUCAAUUAGAAAUCACUGAAACAGGGCCGGGCGCGGGGCAGAGGUUGCUAACCACGCGGGGCCCUGCAGCCCGGGGACUCCGCGGGGAAUCGGAGCGACCCGCGCCCUGGCCGAGCCCUGCCGAGCCUUGCCGAGCCCUGCCGAGCCCUGCCCGAGCCCUGCCCGAGCCCUGGCCGCGCCCUGGCCGCUUCCCUGCUGCCUGGAUCGAACGGACCGAGGCGCUGAGACGCUCCCAGGAUGGGUCUCCAGGGCCAAAGGGGGGCAGCGAUUGACCCCAACUGUGACCGCCGAGAGGGACGCGGCUGGUGAGGGGACCUCGCCUGGCAGGGCCCAUGCUAGCUCUGUCUUGCAAUGCAGCCACCACAGCCGGGCUGGACGACGUCUCCGUUGCUACCCCUCUCCCCCUUCCUGAUCCCGCGUCCGGCCGCUCCCCGGAGAUCAUAUGUUGUCGCCUCUUACUUUUAACUCUUUCCCUGCCAUCUGCGCCCUCCCGAGACUUCCUGGGACUCUGCUGUCUGCCGGUCACCUUCCUCCUGUGCCUGCGAGUCUGACGGGCAGGAGCCUUAAGCCCGAGCCCGCGAGCCCCGUAGUUAAUGCGGUGAUGGUGCCCGGCGCUCGUAAGUAGGGCAGCUGUCCUGUUCUCCUCCCCUUGCACAGCAUCGUCUUGGUCCUCACCCCACCUGCUCAAGCAGGUGUUAUUCUUCUCCUCAUUCUGCAGCUGCGGAAGUGGAGGCCUGUCACCCACCUGGAAUGUGGCAGAACCGGGACUUCGCCCCAGGUCCUCACUCCGGGCCAGCGCCCUCCCUCAGCACCGGCCCUGAGCUCCCAGCGACUCCCUCCUCACGUCCUACUCUUGGGAGCUCGGUGUCCAAAGUGCUAAAGCAGUUCCUUUAAAAAACAGCAAAAUACUUGCACUUUCUCCCAAAGUAGGCAAACAGCUUCACACUCGUGCACCAGUCUAAGACUUGGAAGAGCAAGCAACCCUCCCAAAACUCCUGUCCGCUUCCUGGUCGCCAUGCCACGAGCAGCUCUCCUCUGCCCAGGCCCUUCCGCUAUGUCGCCCUGCCUCGAGCCAGCUGACCAUGGACUGAGACUUCUGAAACAGCCUAGGGACUCACAGAGACUGGAACUUCCUGGAGAGUUUCCACCCUCUCAAGAGAAGCACAGAUGCCAUACCCUGAUGACAAAAAGAAAAGCCAGGAUGGAGAACUGGAGCCCACCCUACUGGCAUAAAAAUUUUGCAGGUUCACUAACGCCCGUGGAAAAAGAAUUUUCAGGACACAUCAGUAAAGGAUCAAAGGGAUUAAGUAGAAUUUUAAAAAUACACACUCAAAGAAAUAGGGUGCAGGCCCUCAAGAGAGAGAGGCCUAUCAGUCUGGGACUGGGUAUGUUUAUGGGGACUUUCGGGUAAAAAUCUGUCUAAUCUAUAAAUGUAUGGAAAGAGGAGCUAAAAUACGGAGGAAGGGAUGGUGGCUCAUUCGCAGGUGACAGCCCUCAUUGGUGAUAGGGGAAAAAAUUCAUUUUGUAAGUGAAAAAAAAUAGCCAAGCCCACUUCCAUGUAGAAAGGAAUGGCCCAGACUUACCCUGUCUUUAAAGACCAUAGAAAUAUUUUUGGACUGGGUUUGUGUUCUGAACCCACAGUUUUUAUUAAAAGCACAAUUUUGUUUGUAUGUUUUGAGAUAGGGUCUUGCUAUGUAGUUCAGGCUGGCCUUGAACCCACUAUGUAGCUCAAGCUGGCCUCAGACCCACAGCAAUCCUCCUGCCUCAGCUUCCGGAGUCCUGAGAUUACAGGUGUGCACCAUCACACCCAGCUCUCAAAGUAUACUUCUAAAAUUAUGAUUUUCCUUGUAUCCUUUUUACCUAUCUUUAUUUUUUUCUAUUGUACCUCAGAACGUACUACUGGAAAAGAUACUGGAAUGGCAGGGCCAUAUCCCACUGGGAUGAAGAAAAACACUGUGCAUAGAGAGGGUGGGGUGUGAGCAACUGCAUUUAAAAGAUACCAAGGUGAGGAAAUAAAAGAUAUAAAGGAAAGGAAGUAGAGCUCCCGCUAGCCAGGAGGGGGUCCCAGGAUGGCUCUUUGUCUAGGAGACUUUAAGGGGUUUAGAAGGGAGCUCGGGCACUUGUAUAGGGAGAUUGUUAUACAAUCUCCCUAUAGGAGAUUACUGGCUUUUCAGGGUCCAAUCCCUGCAGUGUUCACGAAGUAUCUAUGCAGGGCCUGAGCCAAUGGCCUGGCUGAUCACAGUCCCGGGAGGUCCUGGACAGGGAAGGACACCUGGCAGGUGUCUCUGUAAGCUCCCUGGAGGUCAUGACCCAGCAGGCUGCACUUGGGGGCAAUGUGCUCACGGCCCUAAUAGAAUCUUGAGUGCUGUCCCACUACUUCGUGUCUCAGGGUCACCUCAGUUUGUAGGGUGAGCUAGCACCCUCUGUGAUACUGACAGACGACGUCCCUCCCAGAUUUCCCCUCUCCCUCUUGUCUUUUCUCUGGCCAAUACCUGCAUGUGUACAAUAGAGCAGUUAAUAACCAACAUGGGGUGCAUGCAUAGACGCAGAGAAGAUGACAUCUUCACUGUUAUUCACCUCUUGGGGAUCCAGCAUUUCCUCCCCUUCUGAAUACAGGCCCAAAAUAAAUAAAUGAAGCCACAGUCGUGGUAGCAAUACCUGUGGCUCUG